rnacentral:tRNA from 1 species
GGAGAGGUGGCAGAGUGGUUGAAUGCGGCGGUCUCGAAAACCGUUACGUCGGUAAUCCCGGCGUCGGGGGUUCGAAUCCCCCCCUCUCCGCCA